UGGGGGAUAUUGCACAAUGGGGGAAACCCUGAUGCAGCGACGCCGCGUGUAGGAAGACGGUCCUUUGGAUUGUAAACUACUGUCUUCGGGGACGAUAAUGACGGUACCCGAGGAGGAAGCUCCGGCUAACUACGUGCCAGCAGCCGCGGUAAUACGUAGGGAGCAAGCGUUAUCCGGAAUUAUUGGGGGUAAAGGGUGCGUAGACGGGAAUACAAGUUAGUUGUGAAAGCCCUCGGCUCAACCGAGGAACUGCAGUUGAUACUGUCAGUCUUGAGUACAGUAGAGGUAAGCGGAAUUCGUGGUGUAGCGGUGAAAUGCUUAGAUAUCACGAAGAACUCCAAUGGCGUAGGCAGCUUGCUGGACUGUAACUGACGCUGAUGCUCGAAAGUGUGGGUAUCAAACA
rnacentral:rRNA from 1 species